rnacentral:rRNA from 1 species
UACAGAGGGUGCGCGCGUUGUCCGGAAUCACUGGGCGUAAAGGGCGCGUAGGCGGCCUGAUAAGUAGGGGGUGCAAUUCUGCGGCUUACCCGCAGGACUGCCUUCUAAACUGUCGGGCUGGAGCACGGUAGAGGCAGAUGGAAUUCCCGGUGUAGCGGUGGAAUGCGUAGAGAGCGGGAAGAACAUCAGUGGCGAAGGCGGUCUGCUGGGCCGUUGCUGACGCUGAGGCGCGACAGCGUGGGGAGCAAACAGG